rnacentral:rRNA from 1 species
UACAGAGGGUGCGAGCGUUGUCCGGAAUCACUGGGCGUAAAGGGCGCGUAGGCGGCUUGAUAAGCGUGCGGUGAAAGCCCGGGGCUCAACCCCGGGUCGGCCGUGCGAACUGUCGAGCUGGAGCACUGUAGAGGCAGGUGGAAUUCCGGGUGUAGCGGUGGAAUGCGUAGAGAUCCGGAAGAACACCAGUGGCGAAGGCGGCCUGCUGGGCAGUGGCUGACGCUGAGGCGCGACAGCGUGGGGAGCAAACAGG